rnacentral:rRNA from 1 species
GACUCUGUUCACGGCCGCGGUAUCCUAACCGUGCGAAGGUAGCGUAAUCACUUGUUCUUUAAAUGUGGACUAGUAUGAAUGGCAUCACGAAGGUUAUACUGUCUCCUUUUUCUAAUCAGUGAAACUAAUCUCCCCGUGAAGAAGCGAGGAUAAAACUAUAAGACGAGAAGACCCUAUGGAGCUUUAAACAUUUAUAACACUUGCUAAAUAAAAUACAAAUUUCAGAAUUAUUUAAUCUUUAAGCAACUUGUCUAUAAGUUUUUGGUUGGGGUGACCGCGGAGCAUAAUACAACCUCCAUGUUGAAAGAUCUAUUUCUAAGCUAAGAGCUACACCUCUAAGCAUCAACAUAUUGACAUCCAUUGACCCAAUAUAUUUGAACAACGAACCAAGUUACCCUAGGGAUAACAGCGCAAUCCACUUCAAGAGCUCCUAUCGACAAGUGGGUUUACGACCUCGAUGUUGGAUCAGGGUUUCCCAGUGGUGCAGCCGCUACUAAAGGUUCGUUUGUUCAACGAUUAAAAACCCUACGUG